rnacentral:lncRNA from 1 species
UGGCCUGAGCCGAAACUGUGUGCCGAGGGGGGAAAAGGAGGGAGCAGAGGGUGCCGCCAACGUCAUUCUUGGUCUCGGUUGGUGUAGGAUCUUCCACGGAGGGUUUGGGGGCUCCGCUGUGCUUCCUGGUGGACGCCUGUGGCCGAAGAAGGAGAGGUCGACCACUGGAUGGCCGGAAUUUCAUCACUGCACCGUUGAAUUCGCCGCGGCGAGCGGGCAGACCGAGGUGCUUCCAGGUUCGUGGUAGCCUCUUUUCCCUUUCAUCGUGCGGCUGUUCACUACGUAUUAUCGCAUCCUGUUCGAAGUUCGAGUGUCUGUGGCGAAUUUUGGCCAAUGUCGGCCAUGGCGUCGCCGCAGGCACUCGGGCACUGCCGUGCGCUUGACAUUAGGGGGUGGCGCGUGCGCCAGAGCGCUGUGGCCCGUUGAUCUUCUGCGCAACGACCAAGAUUAGACAAUCGGGUACCUGUUCGCACGAUUGAAUCAUGAGCGUAGAUCUAGGAUCCCUCGGUUCGGAUUAGAUUUGGCUGCAUAAGAUCGUGACCGUAGAUCUCCCACCGAACGGUCCCGAUUAGAUCGUGAUGCUGGUUCGGGGAGAUAGAUCUGGGUCGUUGAUCUAAUCUCGGACGGGUGAGGAUUUGUUGAGGGAUUUUAAAUCCCGGUCGUCGAUUCUCAAUCGGACGGUUAUCUGCGGCGCUCUGAGUUUUAUCUGCGCCGAUCUAAUCUGGGCGCUCGAUCAUGGAUCCAGCGGCCAGUAAACCCUGAUACCCUUUCGCUGAUCAUAUGUUGCAGAAAGGCCCUUAUGCUUUUAGAAAAAUGGAACCCGCCGUCCAGUAGGGAGGCAGUCUGUGCCUUAGGAAAGUUACACCGAGAGCCCUUCUGUUUUCUGUACUUGGCGCCCAGUCCAUAGCUUUGAGAAUUCAGUUAUUUAAUUCUAGAAAUUGAUUUUUAAUACAAAAAUAAACCCUAGAACUUGUAUAAAUCAUAGAAAAUUCAUAUGAACUCCAAAUUAACUCAUUCCUGUUUCUAAAAUUUUGUAAUAUUAUUGUUUAUCACUUAGAGUAUCUGUUUUGACAUGAAAACAGUAAAAAAAUUAAUUACUCACUUAAUCAUAUAUUAAGCACAUAAAACCUUCAGAAAUUCAUAUCUUAAAAUCUAUAACUCCAAAAUUAAUGAUUCAUGUUCGUAGGUUCUUAUUUUAAUGUGUAGAUUAUUAUUAUGUAUUUUGUUUACAUGUUUGGUGUGAUGUUAAUUUCUCUUUAUAUUGUGCUUGUCUGUAUUGUGGCGAGUAGAAGAGCAUGUGACUAAGGAUCGUAGUGCCCAGCAGAUAGAAGUUGCUGAGCAGGAGCUCAUUGAAGGCAAGUUGUGCCCUUGAUCACUUAUUUUUUCCCAGCCAUGUUCUUAUUAAUCAUAAUGAUCUGCAUAGGUUAAUUUUGAUGGGAUCGUUUAGGUUACCCUAGUUUUGGUUAUCUUUAUACCUUGUUUACCACUCAAUAUUUUUGGGUAGUACUUGCUAUUGCUUUAUGUGGUUUUGGGUAUGGAGAUACAUUAUUCAUGAACACUUUUAUUAUCUGUUUAUUAUUACUGUUCAUGUUAAGAUCAUUAUGUUAAUGGGAACAUGGAGCGACCACCCGGGAAAACAGUGCUACCACAAGGGUAGUAUGGGAUGCCCUUGGCUGAUUAACUAGGAAAGCUAGCGGAUGACUACCUUACCCGAUAGGGGCAAGGGCAUUAGGGGAGUGGUCAGUGUAGGGAGGUCCUUGGGUUGAUUUUGCUCCGAUGGCGGUCAGGCGCCUGGAGCUUCCUAUAAACUGUAGCGGGUUUUCUGAAGCUAGUGGAACUUUGUAAAGGCCUAGUAGUGUUACCCUGCCUCGCCUCCUCGGUAGAGGUGUAUGGGAUUGACCGUCUCUUGGCAGAUGGGUAACAUGACUUGUGGGUUAAGAUGUGCAACCUCUUCAGAGUGUAAAACUGGUAUACUAGCCGUGCUCACGGUUAUGAGCAGCUCGGACCCUCACAUGAUUAAUCUAUGGAAUUAAAACUCAAUUUGUCAUUUGCAUCGCAUUGGGAUUAUUUUAUUAUUACUUUUACUUAUUAAUACUAAGGUUUGGUAUUUACUUAUACUUAGUAAUUGCUAAUAAAAUUUUGACCAACUUAUAAAAGCAAUGCUCAGCUUCAACCUUUAUUUUGUUGAUCAGCCUUACACUUCACAUGAACUCCCACCUUUGGAGAGUUCAUGCACAUUAUUCACCACAACUUGUUGAGCUAUGAACGUAUGUGAGCUCACUCUUGCUGUCUCACACCCCCCCCCACAGGAGAAGAAUAGGUGGUCGAAGAGGAGUCGCCUAACACUAAGGCUUUCGACUUGAUCUAGGUGGUGUCUCCUAGUCAGCUUUGUGGCGCCAGGGAAUAAUAUUUAGUUCGCUUUAUUUUAUCAUUUAUUUUUGUAAGACUUCCGCUAUGUAAUAAUUACAUUGAUAAUAUUUAUGACAUUUAUCUCUAUGCACUCUGUUAUUAUAUGUGUUGUCUUCUCUGGCGCAUAUAUGAGAUGCACCCAGCUUUGUUCCUUAAAUCCGGGUGUGACAGUAGAUUUCAAUCUUCUUUAAAACUUCAUUGGUCAUCUCGUAUAGAGGGAACCGAAGACCUACUCUGAAGAAGCUUUUAAAAACUACGACUUCGUCAUUUCUUGGUUCUGGAAUCACUUCUUCCCCAGCAAACCAAACCAGUUCGUCAUCAUUCUCUCCAAAAUAUCCUAAUUUCUUCAUUAAAACCAAAUCUUCCGCUUUAACCAUGGAUUUUCCAAACUCAAUAUGGCUAGGUUUGCUCGAACUUAAAAUUCCAUCAUCUUCUUCGUCAUCACUGUCAGCUUCGGUAAUAGUUGGUUCAGCUUCGGCAACAACAACAUCUUCUGUCGGAAUUGACUCUUCUUCUCGUACAACUAACCCAGAAUGUUUCAUUAUUUCUAAGAUAUGGGCCAUCUCAGUAGCUCCAACUUCUUCUCCUUCGUGUGCUACUCUGGCAGUAGACCUCACUCUAGCCAUUUCAGUUUUUAUGAGACGAAGCUACACUCAACUAAUUGAACGUUUGUCUGAAGCUUACACAGCAAGUGCAUGGAAAGCAGGAAGCUUCGGCUUUAGUAAAAAUUUUCAGCAGCACAACAGCGUAGGGGCAAUGAAUGUUGUGGUAACUUCUCACCAACUCAUCUGUUUAUAUAGCUCGCAGGUGAAGAAGGUGAUCCGCAGAGACGCGCGUACUGGCUGAUCGGUGGACCGGUAAGUGCCAUAAAUUUUAUAUUCGUUUUUAAUAAUAAGCUCAGGGAAUGUUUUUCGGAUCUUCGGCAUCUAGAAGCCUUCGUGUUUUUCGUGGAUCGAGCUCGUUAUGAAAAAACGACCUAGCACCACGAAGGGGCUACUGUUGGGGGUCUUCUUCUCUGCUGAAGGUUCUCAAGGCGAAGAUACUGUUUGUAGGUGACAAGAAUGAAUGCUGAAGCUACAACGAACAUGUGUGGAAAAGCCGAAGGUGAACAGCUUCGGCUUAAGGUGGUGACGAAGGUCAAGCAUAAUGUUGAGUCGAAGAGGAAAAGACUAGUUAAUCCCUGAUGUUUUCUAUUAGGAUUAUAAGUAUAUGUUGAGGUCAUAAAUGUAUUUUUACUUGGACUGCGUCUCAUGCCUAUAAAUAGGUGAACAUUACCCCCAUACUGUUCACGCUGGAUUGUAAUUGCUCUCGUGCCAUCACCUUCAAACAAGCUGAAGGUAUCAAUAUAAUAUAAAUAAUGAUAAUGUUUAUACGAUUAUUAUGGAAUAAAUAUGUGAAUGUAU